GCGACCGAUAAAAAACUCGCCGCCCCACGCGGCCGCACCCGCUCGGACAGAGCUCGGCCCAGCUCGGCUCGCCCCUCCCCACUCCCCUCCCUGAUGCGCGUGCCCCCAUGCGGCGGCUCCGACACAGUUAGGCCCCGUCUGGGGCUGCAUCCGCGGCGGCGGCGGCGGCGGCGAUGAAGCGGCCGCUGCGGCGCUCCUUCGCAGUGCUCCUCUUCGUCGUGCUCGUCGGCGCGGCCUCGUUCUCCGCCGCCCUCCGCCGCGCCGUGGCCCCCGCGCCCGCGCGGGAGCCGCCCCUCCCGGCGCUCGACCAGGCGCGCCUCAACGCCACGCUGCUCCGCCUCGCCGCCGUCGAUCCCUCGGAGGCCCCGCUGCGGCGGGACGUGGACGACCUCCUCGAGGGCCGCCUCCCGGUCUCCGCGGCGCGCGACCGCGCCCGCGCGUGGCGCCGCGACCGGCUCCUCCACCCGCUCCACCUCCACCACCACCGCUUCCCGCUGCCCCGCCGCGGCCGCUACCCGGACGAGGACCACGACACCCUGCUCCACCCGCUCCCGCGCCACGACCAGCAGCUCCACAUCGACCCCGCCCUCCGCCGCGCGCUCCGCUCCUGGCACCGCCUCCGCCGCUACGAUCCCGCCGUCCUCGGCAGCCUCCCCUCCCUCCUCUCCCUGCCCGGCCGCAUCCCAUCCUGCGCGGUUGUCGGCAACAGCGGCAUCCUCCUCCGGGCGAACCAUGGCGCUCUCAUCGACUCCCACGACGCCGUGUUCCGCCUCAACAACGCCCGCAUCGCAGGGUACGCCGCGCACGUCGGCAGCAAGACCAACUUCUCCUUCAUCAACAGCAACGUCCUUCACCUCUGCGCGCGCCGACCCGGCUGCUUCUGCCACCCCUACGGCCAUGGCGUCCCCAUCCUGCUCUACAUCUGCCAGGCCGCCCAUUUCCUCGACAUCGCAGCCUGCAACACCACCUCAUCCUCUCGCCACGGCUCCCCUAUCUCCUUCACCGACGCCCGCCUCGACGUCCUCUGCUCCCGCAUCGUCAAGUACUACUCCCUCCGCCGAUUCGUCGCGGAGACUGGCCGCGCGGCUGAGGACUGGGACCGCGCACACGACGCCGCUAUGUUCCACUACUCGUCCGGGAUGCAGGCCAUCAUGAUCGCGGUGGGAGUUUGUGACAGAGUCAGCGUGUUCGGCUUCGGGAAAUCCUCCGAUGCAAAGCACCAUUACCAUAGCAACCAGAAGGCGGAGCUGGAUCUCCAUGACUACGAGGCGGAGUACGCCUUCUAUCACGACCUCGCCGAGCACCCGCAGUACGAGGAAAGAGAUUCUCUGUAUAAGAGCAUCUCUAGCAAUAGCUCCUACUUCAGGUCCCUACAUUUUAAAGCAGAGGCUCCUUCUACUUUUUGAGGCUAUGAUUUGGGUGCUCAGCUCCAACAACAGCCCUUAUAUCUCAGCUCCAACAACAGUGCUAUCCGUUGUUGUUUGAUAUAAGGAGUUUGUUGUUAUACACCAAGGUUUUCAAUUGAUAUCAGAUUCCGUAUAGGAUUCCCAAGGAAAUCAUGGUAAGUAUCUGAAACAAGUCAUGGUAAGUAUCUGAAACGUGACCAUACCAAGUGUCUCAAACCUGAACAGAUGAUACCACAGUUCUGUUUAUAUAUAUACUUGUCAUGUUUAUUUAUUCCAUCCUUGUCUACUGUUUUCUUUUGCAACUUAUAUGAGUGAUGCGCGGUUAGUAAGUGUUACUGCAGGGCUUUUCUAGCAAUCUCUGUGGUUACCAUCACUAAGUUGUGAGCAAGGAACGAUACUACUGUCUGUUUAUCAAAUAAAAUAAAGAACUACUCAAUCAUUAGCCAUUUACCUAAAAGCUUCUGGUCACUUGCCUGACAUGGUACUUUUGCACCCACACCAAUUGAAGAUGCUCUUCUCCUAAUAAUGCCAUUUGACAGCCUAGUCAUGUUUAUAAUUCACUGGUGCUUCCACUAGCUCUUGCCAGAUUGUGUUGAACUGCAGACUUUUGUUUUGAACCUUUAGUUCUCUCUCCAUUUGAUUCUAUACGUCUGUGCUCCACCUCCAUUUUCAGAUGGCCAGUAUAUCGGCUUCACUUAUCAAUGUAUCGCAUUGCAGUCACUUUCCUGGCCUCCAGGGUAGGCUCUGCCAGAUGCCUGGAUUAGAUGGGCCGGAUCCGUUUCUGAACAAUGGAUGGGCCUGGUCUUGUUAAUCUACCUAAAGAAGGCUUGCAAAUAAUAAGCCCAAACUGAUAACUAUCCACACUUUGCAGUGACAGUAUGGGCCCAGGCCAAAAACAUAAGAAGCCCAGGUAUGUAUUUUGCAACAAUAACCAGGUGUCCAGGUUUAUUUCAAGGAAACAUAAAUAUAUUAGGUGCAAACCAAUCUUUUCGUGCAAACCGUGUAAAUUUAAUCUGAGCCAUCGAAUCAACAUUUAAGGGACAUAUGGGAAUUGAGUAAUUUUACACUUAACCGCCCACCCUAAUCACAUUUUUGCAAAUCCCCCUCCCACUCCCCCUGCGCACCCCCUUAGAUAGCAAAAGGAAGUAAACCAUGUCUUUUCUAGUUGGUGGCUGUUUUUUUUAGGGCAGUUGGUCUUUCAUUUGACAACAAAGUACAGGAGACUUUGAUAUUUACCACUUACCACUCCCUAAACCUGCGAAAGAGUACUGCCUCUGGCACAUGCUUUUACCAAGUUACCAUUGACCUGUAUUCUGCUGGCAGCACUAAAUUGACAUUGUACUACAUACUUGGGCAUGUAUCUAACUGUUAGAUACAUGCACAAAUGCGUAGUACAAUUUUGUUCCAACCCAUCAACUUAAUCUGUGAUAGAUAUAGAUAGAAAUCUCAAUCGGCAGCGCAAGUCCGAGCAAGCUGUAUACCUUCGAGAAAUCAGUUUCUAUCGGAGUGCGCCAGCGUGACUAGGGCCUGAUGCCACUUCUCCUGAAAGUCUCUUAUGACCACUCUCUGCAAUCUGCAGGCUAGCCAAGGCAUUUGAAUGCUAGGUCCUGUCGUUUUAAUCGCAGACUUUGACAGUUUGACUGAUCAGGAGAAGAUGGGCCUCCGACGGACAAAAGUAGUACCGCUGAAUCGACGACUCCGUGCAUUCGUCAAGAUUGUCUUUGAUAAUUGCUACGGAUACGCGGCGAAGAAUUCGAGCAUGAAUUAACAACGCAGAAAUUAAACCAGGUUCAGGUCUUCUAGAACGCAUUCUGCAUCUAUAACACAAUCGAAUUAUAAUUGUGGUAGCUGCAAUGCUGCAUAUGGCUGCCAAAACAGAGGUCAAGCCGACAAAACUUUAUCCUUUGUAGAGAUCUUGCUGGACAUAUAGUAUCACCACAAGAUAACAAUGUCUGUAUGGUCUUUAUACCUUUGAGCAUAUAAUAAAAGAACGUCCAAUUCAGCAA